CUUGCUUCUCUUGAGAGCGGCGGACGGGUGAGUAAUGCCUAGGAAUCUGCCUGGUAGUGGGGGAUAACGUCCGGAAACGGACGCUAAUACCGCAUACGUCCUACGGGAGAAAGCAGGGGACCUUCGGGCCUUGCGCUAUCAGAUGAGCCUAGGUCGGAUUAGCUAGUUGGUGGGGUAAUGGCUCACCAAGGCGACGAUCCGUAACUGGUCUGAGAGGAUGAUCAGUCACACUGGAACUGAGACACGGUCCAGACUCCUACGGGAGGCAGCAGUGGGGAAUAUUGGACAAUGGGCGAAAGCCUGAUCCAGCCAUGCCGCGUGUGUGAAGAAGGUCUUCGGAUUGUAAAGCACUUUAAGUUGGGAGGAAGGGCAGUAAAUUAAUACUUUGCUGUUUUGACGUUACCGACAGAAUAAGCACCGGCUAACUCUGUGCCAGCAGCCGCGGUAAUACAGAGGGUGCAAGCGUUAAUCGGAAUUACUGGGCGUAAAGCGCGCGUAGGUGGUUCGUUAAGUUGGAUGUGAAAUCCCCGGGCUCAACCUGGGAACUGCAUUCAAAACUGACGAGCUAGAGUAUGGUAGAGGGUGGUGGAAUUUCCUGUGUAGCGGUGAAAUGCG
rnacentral:rRNA from 1 species